UGGGGAAUUUUGGACAAUGGGCGAAAGCCUGAUCCAGCAAUGCCGCGUGUGUGAAGAAGGCCUUCGGGUUGUAAAGCACUUUUGUCCGGAAAGAAAUCCUUGGCUCUAAUACAGUCGGGGGAUGACGGUACCGGAAGAAUAAGCACCGGCUAACUACGUGCCAGCAGCCGCGGUAAUACGUAGGGUGCAAGCGUUAAUCGGAAUUACUGGGCGUAAAGCGUGCGCAGGCGGUUUGCUAAGACCGAUGUGAAAUCCCCGGGCUCAACCUGGGAACUGCAUUGGUGACUGGCAGGCUAGAGUAUGGCAGAGGGGGGUAGAAUUCCACGUGUAGCAGUGAAAUGCGUAGAGAUGUGGAGGAAUACCGAUGGCGAAGGCAGCCCCCUGGGCCAAUACUGACGCUCAUGCACGAAAGCGUGGGGAGCAAAACAGGAUUAGAUACCCCUGGUAGUCCACGCCCUAAACGAUGUCAACUAGUUGUUGGGGAUUCAUUUCCUUAGUAACGUAGCUAACGCGUGAAGUUGACCGCCUGGGGAGUACGGUCGCAAGAUUAAAACUUCAAAGGAAUUGACGGGGUCAUAGCUG
rnacentral:rRNA from 1 species